rnacentral:rRNA from 1 species
UAGGGAAUCUUCCACAAUGGACGAAAGUCUGAUGGAGCAACGCCGCGUGAGUGAAGAAGGUUUUCGGAUCGUAAAGCUCUGUUGUCGGUGAAGAAGGAUAGAGGCAGUAACUGGUCUUUAUUUGACGGUAAUCAACCAGAAAGUCACGGCUAACUACGUGCCAC